rnacentral:sRNA from 1 species
AAAAUAUGACAAGAAAAAUGCAAAACAUAAGCAAUACAUAAGCAACACACAAGCAAACAAAAUUAUAAGCUCAAAUUUUAAGACUUUAAAACAUUGCUAGUUAUCAACUACACAAAAAUGUGUAAUAAUAUAAGAGACCGAAAAUAUGUGUUUUAAGACUGUAGAUAGUUGUCAUUAAUUUUGUUUUAACUAAAAAAUAUUUAUAAAACUAUUCUAUAUAACACUUCUUUUUCUAUGUGUUAUUCGCAAUACAUCAUACAAGAUUUUGGAACUGUCGGAGGAGGCGCAGCGGGCAUUACUUCAUUUACCAUCGCAGAGCUCAUCUCGAUCGUGUCGUCGGUAGCGGCCACGCCUUGGGGAAAGGAUUCAUCCGCUAUUCUUGUUAACCUUUUUUAAUUGAGUCUUCGAAUUGUGAACAAAAGCCUUUUGUGUUGUACUUGGUUCGAAUUGUGAACAAAACUCAAUGGUUCAAUCUUUAUAAGGAAUCCUUAUCAUUUUUAAUAAAUGUUUUUUGAUAAUUAUGAAGUUUAGAGUUUUUGUAGAGUCUCUAUAUUUUUUAUUAUCUAAUAGUGGAGUCUUUAAGUAAGUUUUUAAAAACAAAAGUAUUUUUUAAAU